AUUGAACGCUGGCGGCAUGCUUUACACAUGCAAGUCGAACGAGUGGCGCACGGGUGAGUAAUACAUCGGAACGUGUCCUAUCGUGAGGGAUAACUGAUCGAAAGAUCAGCUAAUACUGCAUACGAUUGAAGCGGCCGAUGCCCGAUUAGCUAGUGGGUGAGGUAAAGGCCCACCAAGGGGACGAUCGGUAGCUGGUCUGAGAGGACUACCAGUCACACUGGAACUGAGACACGGCCCAGACUCCUACGGGAGGCAGCAGUGGGGAAUUUUGGACAAUGGGGGCAACCCUGAUGCAGCCAUGCCGCGUGUAGGAUGAAGGCCUUCGGAUUGUAAAGUACUUUCGGCAGGGAAGCGGUACCUGAAGAAGAAGCACCGGCUAACUCCGUGCCAGCAGCCGCGGUAAUAC
rnacentral:rRNA from 1 species